GACGAACGCUGGCGGCGUGCUUAACACAUGCAAGUCGAACGGAAAGGCCCUGCUUUUGUGGGGUGCUCGAGUGGCGAACGGGUGAGUAACACGUGAGUAACCUGCCCUUGACUUUGGGAUAACUUCAGGAAACUGGGGCUAAUACCGGAUAGGAGCUCCUGCUGCAUGGUGGGGGUUGGAAAGUUUCGGCGGUUGAGGAUGGACUCGCGGCUUAUCAGCUUGUUGGUGGGGUAGUGGCUUACCAAGGCUUUGACGGGUAGCCGGCCUGAGAGGGUGACCGGCCACAUUGGGACUGAGAUACGGCCCAGACUCCUACGGGAGGCAGCAGUGGGGAAUAUUGCACGAUGGGCGGAAGCCUGAUGCAGCAACGCCGCGUGCGGGAUGACGGCCUUCGGGUUGUAAACCGCUUUCGCCUGUGACGAAGCGUGAGUGACGGUAAUGGGUAAAGAAGCACCGGCUAACUACGUG
rnacentral:rRNA from 1 species